ACAGGCAGGAAAGUGCCACAGAAAACAGACCGCAUGGGUGAACGUCCUCGAUGUUUCCCUGGUAAGGGUGAAAAGGUGAGGUAAGAGCUCACCAGUCCCAUCGGUGACGGUGGGAGCUAGGCAAACCCCACCCGGAGCAAGACCAAAUAGGGGGACGUCUGAGGGUGGUCCGCCCGAGUCCCCGGGUAGGUCGCUUGAUCUCGAUGGUGACAUCGAGACUAGAUGAAUGGCCAUUGCCUCCCUGUAGCCUGCAACGCGGGUCCGGGGAGGAACAGAACCCGGCUUAUGGACUGCUCUAACAU
rnacentral:RNase_P_RNA from 1 species